rfam:Gossypium hirsutum cultivar TM-1 chromosome 25, whole genome shotgun sequence
AAUGCAGUGAUAAGGGCACUUUCGUAAUAACUCCUUGAACCUCUCCUAUGCCUCAUAUAAAGAUUCUUCAUCAAGUUGUUGAAAUGAAGUGAUUUUAUUUUGGACCUU